GAUGAACGCUAGCGGCAGGCUUAAUACAUGCAAGUCAAGGGGUAGCAAUACAACCGGCGCACGGGUGAGUAACGCGUACACAACAUACCAUAUACUGGAGUAUAGCUUCGGGAAACUGAAGGUAAUCCUCCAUAACAUUGCGAGAAGGCAUCUAAUUGCAAUUAAAGUUUCGACGGUAUAUGAUUGGUGUGCGUUUGAUUAGCUAGUUGGUAGGGUAACGGCCUACCAAGGCGACGAUCAAUAGCUGGCGUGAGAGCGCGACCAGCCACACUGGAACUGAGACACGGUCCAGACUCCUACGGGAGGCAGCAG
rnacentral:rRNA from 1 species